GUGCUUACUUCAGCAACACAUAUACUAAAAUUGGAGACAUAGAGAGAGAAGAUUAGUGUGGCCCCAGUUCAAGAAGGACACACAAAUGCAUGAAGCAUUCCAUAGUAAA